ensembl:snoRNA
AAGCCAACCAGUUUAUUUGCCAAUCGGGAUGUGUUUCUGCAGAAAUUUAGAAACAGCUGGCAAUAAUGACACCAUUGCUAUGAGCCUUAAGGACAACUGAGGUCAUUCUGGUCCUUCAAAAUGGAUAUAAUG